AGAUGUGAGGGAAAUGUGGCUGAAACAUCUGUCACCCCAUUGAUCGACAGGAUUGAUUCAGCUGAUCUGGCUGCUGGGCGGGUGUCCUGUCCUCCCUUACCGCUCCAUGUGUGUCCCUCCCAAAGCUGCGUGCUCAAAGAGGACAACCUUCCCAAUAGACGAGGACUGUUCUUUGGUCAAGGGUAUACGAAUAGCUGUGCUUCCCUGCUAGAGCCUUCAAACAAGCUCUCAAGGUCCAUUUGCAGGAGAAUGUAGGGUAGUCAAGCUCCCAAGACUCCAGACACAUCCAAAUGAGGCGCUGCAUGUGGCAGUCUGCCUUUCCUU
rnacentral:snRNA from 1 species